rnacentral:tRNA from 1 species
GGGCGGUUAGCUCAGGCGGCUAGAGCGCCACUCUCACACAGUGGAGGUCGCAGGUUCGAGUCCUGCACCGCCCACCA